CCAGUUGCAGACCCUGACAGAAGGUCGGAAGGUGGAGGAAGGAAGAGGCCACAGCAUCUGUCUCCCUCCGCUUUGGGAAGCAACUCCGCUGUAUCUUCGAGUGUCCAGCCCCUCGGAAGUUCCCGUUGCCGCUGGGUGGUCCUGGAUCCUGGACUCUGGUGCAGCCUAAUUCCCCUCUCCUGGACCAGGAGGCAGAACUGGCUUUGUGACUCACCUCUGUCUAGGAGAAUGUGGCAAAUGUGACAAUGUGUGACUUCUGAUGCUAAGUCAUAAAAGGCAGGCUGUCCCCAAACCACCGCGAGAUGGCCACCAGCAGCCUCAGGCUUCCAGCCGAGUUUUGCAUCAACCACAUGGGAAGAACAAUGAACCGAAUGAAAAAUUACCUUUUCUCAGAGGUCCAGGAGGAACACCUGGGUGGCUCAGUCGGUUAAGCGUCCGACUUCGGCUCGGGUCAUGAUCUCGCGGUUCGUGGGUUCGAGCCCCGCGUCGGGCUCUGGGCUGACAGCUCGGAGCCCGGAGCCUGCUUCGGAUUCUGUGUCUCCCUCUCUCCCUCUGCCCCUCCCCACUCAUGUUCUGUCUCUCUCUCUCUCUCAAAACUAAACAUUAAAAAAAAAGGAAAAAGAAAAGAGGUCCAGGAAAAGUGUCAUGGAAUGUCACUGGACUGUCUGAAGUCAGUCCCUGCCCAUUCCUGAGGCAACCACUAGGCCCACGGGUUGGCUAAUGCGGGCUGGUCAGGCCUGGGUUUCUCCUUCCCAGGAA